rnacentral:lncRNA from 1 species
CCUCAUAGACUACCCAUAUCCCCCCCUUCUCAUCCGCCACCGUUUCCGCCGCCGAAAAUUGCCCACGGCGGCAGACCACCGCCAAACAACCCUAAAUUAACACCCUACACUCCCCAACUCCUCCACAACCUAAACCUCUUAUCCAUUCCCUUUAAAUCCGUCUCAAUCAUAGCAAAAAACAAAUCUGAAAUUCCCAAAACAAAAAUAAAAAAAAUAAAAAAGAGCUCAAACCAGUUUUUCACUCUCAAACUUUGAUAUAAAACCUACACUAACCGAUUGCUCUUGAUGAGUGCAAUCGAUCGAUGUCAGUUUUGGUUCAUUCCGAAAUUUUCAAGAAUCCGAUCAAGUCGUCAUUGGCAGGUUUGAAGCUCGAUUCCUAUGUCUUAAGCUUCUUCUGUCUUAAUGAGUAACCCCUAUCUUUUCUUCUCUUCUUCUUUCUUUUCCUCUAAUGACUUAAUUUCAGAUUAGUUAUAGAGUUUUAAUUUUUUGAUUGCAUGAUAAUUAGAUUAAAUCUGUUAGUUUAAUUGAAAACAUAUUUAGUUAAUUCCUUAAUUAGGAAUAGGAUAUGAUUGUUGCAUGCCUUAGAAUUUAUCAAGUUCUCUGAUUUUUGAUGACCUUAGUUAGGGUUGAGUUGUUGUCUAUUACUCUUAAUUGCUCAUCUCUGUUUUUGGUUUAAACUUGUUCUUAGGAGACAGAUUGGUAGAUCGUUAGAUGUUUUAAGAUAAUUGGUUUUAAUCAUAAUCGUUUCUUUGUUAAUUUAGGUUAUGUUAUUGAAUUUCUAUAGCUUUGUUUGAAUUCCAUUGUUAUAGUUAGCAUUAUAUGUUCCAGAAUCAUAUUGGUUGUGGCCUAUUUUGAAAAUGGAUUGGAGGCCUGCCUUGUUGACGGGCAGGCCUAUUGAGUCUUAACGCCCAAAUUUCUGUUAUUAGGAGAUUUGUAAUUAAAGGAAUCUUUAUAUAACUUCUAGGAAGUGUCUAGAAGGCCUAGGGUGCAGUAAAAACAAGGGAAUUAAGGGUCAAUUUGAGAAGUUAAGGGGUUAGAAGAAUAGAAAGGAAUUUCUGGAAUUGGACAACUGUCCAUUUCAGUUGCAAAAGAUGCCAAUUCCCUUAUUUUUAGGGAAAGCUAGCAGAAUAUUCCCACACCCCAUCUCCCUCACAUAUAGCACAUGCUCACAUUCUAUAAAGGGACUCCCCCUCUCAUUUUACUGAGGGAGAAUUCUCUGCACAUUCACUCUAAAAAAAGUAUAUGGGCUCAGACAGAAAAAAGAGAAAGUAGCUAGAAAGUUUAGGUUUCAAGUUUGAAAAUACUAGAAAUCAAAAUCAUAGAAAGAGUUUUCAAAGUUGCUUAUGAUUUCUUCUAUUUGAAGCUAUUUUCUGUUGUUGUUCUUCUGACUGUUGUUGCUUCAUUCCAAUUUCAGAGAUUUAUUUUCUAUUUUGUUGCUUUUGGUGUCCAGGUACACCCCUUUUGAACUUUAGGCUACAAAUUGGAUAUGAAGAUAUGUGUGCUUUGAAAUUAAUGGAAUCAGUCGUUUUCAGCUGUUAUUUCUUGUGUUUUGUUAAAUUGUUUAAUUCUUUUUCUUGUUAACCAAUAUCAUAUUCUAUUUGUUAUUAGUAGAUCUCGACCCGAAGUUGGUACAUAAGUUUUCAUGUAGUGUAUAAAUAUGUUAUGGUCUUAGUCUUUAUGCUGGAUUCUCAUCCAACGUUAAAUGAUCAGUAAAUCGUUGUUCUGGAAUUUAAUAUGCUUAUGUCCAUGAUCCAAAGAUACACACAUAGCGUGAAUAUAGGUGUAUGUUAAAUAUACAAACU